rnacentral:rRNA from 1 species
AUUGAACGCUGGCGGCAGGCCUAACACAUGCAAGUCGAGCGGAUGAAGGGAGCUUGCUCCUGUAUUCCGCGGCGGACGGGUGAGUAAUGCCUAGGAAUCUGCCUGGUAUUGGGGGAUAACGUCCGGAAACGGGCGCUAAUACCACAUACGUCCUGAUGGUGAAAGUGGGGGAUCUCCGGACCUCACGCUAUCAGAUGAGCCUAGGUCGGAUUAGCUAGUUGGUGGGGUAAGGGCCUACCAAGGCGACGAUCCGUAACUGGUCUGAGAGGAUGAUCUGUCACACUGGAACUGAGACACGGUCCAGACUCCUACGGGAGGCAGCAGUAGGGAAUAUUAGACAAUGGGCGAAAGCCUGACCGAGCAACGCCGCGUGUGUGAAGAAGGUCUUCGGAUCGUAAAGCACUUUAAGUUGGGAGGAAGGGAAGUAAGAUAAGACAUGGCUGUCUUGACGUUACCAAAAGAAAAAGCAACGGCUAACUACGUG